CUGACUAUUUGAAUCUCUCUCCAGUGAACACUAAAUGCGGAGCAGAUCUUUGCAACUACUUCUUUCACAGCUACGAAGGUUAUUUUUUUCUUUGCUAGAAAAUUUUCAGGACCUCAGCAACUUCUGGUGAAAAAGGUUAGAUAAUUGAGCUGAAUUUAUAGGGUGUGUUCUUGUGAAAGAAGCUGUUAUGAAAAGAGAAUAUCGCCAGAUGAAAC
rnacentral:lncRNA from 1 species